rnacentral:rRNA from 1 species
UACGGAGGAGGCAAGCGUUAUCCGGAAUUAUUGGGCGUAAAGCGUCCGUAGGUGGUUUAGUAAGUCUGCUGUUAAAGCGCGGGGCUUAACUUCGUAUCGGCAGUGGAAACUACUAGACUAGAGUGUGGUAGGGGUAGAGGGAAUUCCCAGUGUAGCGGUGAAAUGCGUAGAUAUUGGGAAGAACACCGGUGGCGAAGGCGCUCUACUGGGCCAUAACUGACACUGAUGGACGAAAGCUAGGGGAGCGAAAGGG